GUGCUUGCUUCGGCAGCAUAUAUACUACAAUUGGAACAAUACAGAGAAGAUUAGCAUAGUCCCUGCACAAGGGUGACAUGCAAAUUCGUGAAGCAUUCCAUAUAUUU